GACGGAGGGUGCAAGCGUUAUUCGGAAUCAUUGGGCGUAAAGAGCGUGUAGGUGGUGGGGUAAGUCAGGGGUGCAAGACUGGGGCUCAACCGCAGAAAAGCCAUUGAAACUGCAUGACUUGAGUGCGGGAGAGGUAGAAGGAAUUCCCUGUGUAGAGGUGAAAUUCGUAGAUACAGGGAGGAACACCGGUGGCGAAGGCGACCUACUGGAACGAAACUGACCCUGAGACGCGAAAGCUAGGGGAGCAAACGGG
rnacentral:rRNA from 1 species